UUAUGACCUCUUUAAGCAUUAUACACCUUUUUUCGAAAUAUUCAUUAAAAUGUAAAUUAUUUAAAUAAAUAAAAUUACUUUAACUAUUACCGGUAAAUUCAUAUGUAAAUUACUUCAAUUAUAUAGGACUGUGUUGUUAUAAUAAUAUUUAUUGGACAUAGAACAUUCUAUGAGAAAAAAUGGUGCUCCUCACGACUUUAGCGAGGAUCGACGUAAAAUUAAUCGCACCACUUCUCGCUGUGGUACAGAUUUCAAUUAUAACUAUUUCUGAGAACUUCAAAUAUCAGAACUAUCCACCUCAAGCUAAUUGUACUGAUGGAGAUAGUUUCGACUUUAUAAUAAUAGGUGGCGGAGGUGCUGGCUGCGUUAUGGCCAACCGGCUGACUGAGAUCUCAAAUUGGUCAGUUCUCGUUAUUGAAGCUGGAGAAGAUCCACCUCUUGCAUCUGAUAGUCCAGGAAUUUCAACGCUAGUAGCACCCAAACUGCCACGGUGGGAAUUUCCUUCUACGGAUGAUCAAUACUCAAGUCAAGCUCUGCAGUCGAAGAAAAUAGUUUAUUCUCAAGGAAAGAUGACAGGUGGAUCGACUGGCUUAAACUUUAUGUAUUAUGUCAAAGGCAACGACAAAGACUUCGCUGAAUGGGUCGACAAAGGUAAUAAGAAUUGGGAUGCGGAAAUGGCACGCAAAUAUUAUUACAAAUCCGAAAGAUUUACAGACAAAGAAAUACUUGGCAGUGAAACAGGCCCAUUGCAUAACACAAAAGGAUAUCUAGGAGUUACUAAAUAUGACUGGCAGUAAGAAACUGAGGAAUUGUUCAGCGCGUUGAAACAAAACGGACGUAAGAUUCUACAAGACACCAAUGGGAACGAACAAAUCGGAUACUCACUACCUCAAUUCUCAGUAGCCGAUAAACUAAGACAGAGUUCUAUUGUAUCCUACAUAAGACCGAUAAAUAGGCCAAAUCUUUCACUACUUAGAAGUAAUUAUGUCAGUAAAAUAACCAUUGUUGGCGAUGUUGCUACUGGUGUAGAAGUUACUGACAAGGAUGGUAAUGUUAAAAAACUAAAAGCUAAAAAAGAAGUAAUUUUAUCAGCAGGAGCGAUAAAAAGUCCGCAAGUACUCAUGGUAUCUGGUAUAGGACCUCAAGACGAGUUACAAAAACACAAUAUUCCAGUAGUUAUUGACUCGCCACAAGUCGGGGCUAACUUUCAUGAUCAUUCGAUAAUUCCUAUAAUGAUUUCUGGAAAGAAAGAAUCCUUGUUUAAACCCUAUUUAAGUGAUUUACAAGUCCUAAGUAAACUAGAUGAAUUUCCAAAACCUUGCGUCAUGGGAUUUGAAGCUUUAGAUAAGAAUGACACUCGGCCACAGUAUCAAGUAAAAGCUUUUCCUUUCCCACAUGGCAGUUUGUUCAGCACACUUAUGUGUGUCGAAGUGUUUAGAUGGAACCAAAAAAUUUGUGAAAACAUAGCUAAAGCAUCUCAUCAUGAUGCGUUAUUUGCACUUAUCGUAUUAUUACACCCUAAGUCUCGGGGAUAUGUGCGUAUUAAAAGUAAUAAUCCAGAAGACAAUCCCGUAAUUACAACAAACUAUUUUGCUGAUAAGGAAGAUAUACAAACUUUUGCACGUUCAGCCGAAGAUUUCGUGUCAAUAGUCAACACGCCCGUUUUUAAAAACAGUUCUAUGAAAGUUGCCGAUCUUGGUAUAGAGCAAUGUAAACGCAUAACAUUUGCAACGCCAAAGUACUGGGAAUGUUAUGUUUUGAACAUGGCUUCUACACUUUUCCAUCCAGUUGGUACAUGCGCAAUGGGUCCAAAAGGCGUAGUAGACGAAGAUCUUCUCGUGCGAGGUUUGAAAAAUUUACGCGUGGUAGAUGCCAGCGUUAUGCCAACGAUAGUAAGUGGAAAUACUUAUGCAACUGUUGCUAUGAUAGCUGAAAGAGCCGCGGAUAUAAUCAAGUCAAAGCAUAGCGCAUAGAGAUAGGUAUAAUAUAAUUCAUAUAAAUUAAUAUUUUUUAAUCCAAUGUUAUCAACGAUUGUGCAUAUGAAAACGGCUUUAUGAUAGUGUCUUUAUUAGAGCAGUAUAAAAUACUGUCAACGUAUCUAAUCCAUAUUAUUUAUCUACUGCAAUAUAAAUAAUAUUUUAAAAUAUUUAACAAAAAAAAUAAAUAAAGAUUGUUCGUUUGU